CUUGGCACUCACGCCUCUCUUCAAGCUGCACCAUGAAGUCUGCCCUCAUGGUCUUUGUGGGGCUCCUCAUCCUUUGUGCUGAGCUGACACUGGCAGGUUCUCAGACACCAGACUGCGAGUCAGAAGGGAAGCCAGGAUACUGCCCCACACCGGAUGGUGAUGGAACAUGUGUGGAGGACUGUUCUGGAGAUGAUUCAUGUCCUGGGGACAAGAAGUGCUGCAGCAACAACUGUGGCCACACUUGCCAAACUCCACUAAACAUAAAACCCGGCGAGUGCCCCAAGUUCAAAAUCCCUCCUGGGCUGCCAUGCAAAACGGAUUGCUGCGAGGACAACCACUGCAAAGGGACCGACAAAUGCUGCCCAAUGGGAUGCAGCAAGAUUUGCGCCCCGGCAGGUUUUGAUAAGGCCUAAAGGGCAGCAGGGCCCAGAGGAGUCCAGCUGAAGGACACAGCUUCACUGCUCGCCAAAGGUGGGCUCCCAACUCAUGAGCCCAGGCAGUUCUCCCAUCAACCACCUGGAAUUUCUGCUUCUUCAAUGCUUCUGGAACAGAUGCGCCUUGAGAACAGCUGCUUCAAGUCUCACACAACUGUCUUACAGGGGGAGACUCUUGCUUUCUCUAGUAAACGUGCAUGGAACAAGCAACCAGAACUCUCCCCACAACUCCCAUUUACACUUGCAAAGUAGAAUUAUAAAUAAUUGUACCAUAUAAGGUUUCGACUCACAGAGCAUGCUCGGAGGGAAUGUGGUUGGUAACUGGAGGUGAAAUCUAAUCCUGCCAAUAAAAUUCUAGCAGACCUUUGUCUGAAGGCACAUCUAGUACGCAUGCUUCUCACUGUAGUAACUUUAGAGGAAUUACAGGGUUAAGUGCCUUAUAAGGAAAUGGGGUAAGAGGAACUGAGUACUUUGAUUGGAUAGGAAAUUUAAACUUAAUGGAAGGUGUGGAAUUUUUGCCAAAUGUAUAAAAGUGUUUGGAAUGCUGUAUCUGGCGGCCAGUUGAUUUGGAACAACAAAAGCCCUGCUGGUCCUUUCUGUACAGAAAUAAAAGACAACAGGACUCCUUCUCCACUCGCUGACUCAUGUGAUUUUGGUUAUAUCCAUGAGACAGGGCAAGCUUUGAUUGCAGCUAUUUCAUCAAUACUACCCACAACAAAUAGAACUAUUUCCCAGGCCUGGCCUCCCUUGGAAACAAGGAGAAAUGUUGGAGCCCAAAUGAAGCUUUUGACCCCAUUCAGCUGAAUCUUCUGAGUCCUAACCUUCCUUUUCUAUUUUAAAGUGUCGGGGCAGCUCCACAUUUACAAAUGGAAAAUGCCCUUUUAUUACCCCACCUGCAAAUAUGCCAACCUCAG
ensembl:lncRNA